GCCGCCGUAGCUCAGCUGGCAGAGCGCCGGCCUUGUAAGGGUAUCUAGACAGCCGGCGGUCGCGGGUUCAAGUCCCGCCGGCGGCU
rnacentral:tRNA from 1 species